AUGAACGCUGGCGGCGUGCCUAAUACAUGCAAGCCGAGCGAACGGACGAGAAGCUUGCUUUUCUGAUGUUAGCGGCGGACGGGUGAGUAACACGUGGAUAACCUACCUAUAAGACUGGGAUAACUUCGGGAAACCGGAGCUAAUACCGGAUAAUAUUUUGAACCGCAUGGUUCAAAAGUGAAAGACGGUCUUGCUGUCACUUAUAGAUGGAUCCGCGCUGCAUUAGCUAGUUGGUAAGGUAACGGCUUACCAAGGCAACGAUGCAUAGCCGACCUGAGAGGGUGAUCGGCCACACUGGAACUGAGACACGGUCCAGACUCCUACGGGAGGCAGCAGUAGGGAAUCUUCCGCAAUGGGCGAAAGCCUGACGGAGCAACGCCGCGUGAGUGAUGAAGGUCUUCGGAUCGUAAAACUCUGUUAUUAGGGAAGAACAUAUGUGUAAGUAACUGUGCACAUCUUGACGGUACCUAAUCAGAAAGCCACGGCUAACUACGUG
rnacentral:rRNA from 1 species